ACUAGAAGUUGGUCCGCGGUGUCCCGGGAGCCUGGGAGCCGCCUCAGCCCGCCCGGAGGGAAGGAGGGAAACACCGUCGGAGCCGACCGCGGCCUGGAGAGGGCCGGAGAGCCGGAGGCCAGGGGCCCGCGACGAGUAGGGGUGGAGGGGAGGAAAGCGGGGAGAUCGCGCGAGGAGGAAGCAGCCGAACCUCGGGCGGGCGCUGCGCAUGGAGAACGGCCGCGGCGGAGGGUGCUCCCAGGCGCGGAGAGAAGCCGAGGGCGCCAGCGGGCGAGCGCGAGUCCGGGGUCUGCGCCGCGCUGCUGGUGAAUAAAAAGGAGAGAGGAGGCGCCUCUUACUGCUCUGCCGGAAAACUGCAGCCUGGGCUCCUGAUUGGACUCACCGAGCCCUAAACAAACAGCGCUCGCCGAAGGGUGCCAGGCUGUGGGUCGGAACUGCGCUCAGCGAGCAGCUGGGCGCUGGAGGUGAAGAGGAGGAGGAGGGAUCGAGGGGAGGAGAGAAAAGAGGGUGGGGAGGGGACGGCGAGGGGGGAGGGGAGCGCGCCGCCCAGGCAGACAAUGAGAGCCGCGCUGCCUGCGGGCGUGGGCUGAGCCGCAAGCCCUGUCCCCGGAGUGGGGGCGAGUCCACCCGGGGGGCACCGAGCCCAGGGACCCCGGGGGAGGGGCGGAGGCCACAGAACGCCUGACCUGGCUAGCGACCCGCACCCAUCCAGCGGCGGUGCACCCUCCCGCUCCCGCAGUCGCACACACACACCCACACGAGGGAGGGGGAGGGAGCCUUGGCACGGGAGGAGUUGGCAGUGCACAGUCCCGCGCCGCCGCCGCGGCGGGAGGGGCGCUCCAGACCUUGGGUCAGCACGCCCCCAGAAGGAAGGGGGAACGUGCUCUGCGCCCCCCCGCCCCCCAACCCCCGCCUAGCCCCUUCACAGCAAAUGCGCUUUUUGCCCUGAAGUUGUGUGAGACCGACCUUAAACUUUCUCCGACCCUAUCUCGGGAUGCUACGGCUCAGGUCGUGGUGGUUUCGGGAACCUCAAGACAACAUUCCCCAGCUGACCUUUGGGAACUUUAACUCGGGUCGUCAUGUACGGAAAGGUAGUCUAUGGGGUACGCAGAAUGGAAAAGGGCUUCCACAUCAGUCGUGUCCGAGGACGCUCUCCAACUUUUGAUGUCCCUGGAGAGUUUCUGAUAUUUCCCUGGAGAGUUUCAGAAAGGAUUUCUUCCGACAGACGUGACCCCAGAAGGCUGCCGAGGGAGACUUUAGGACAAGAGGCGUUGUUUUUGUGAGAAUGAAUUUUUAUACUUUACCCCGACCCCACCCCCUACCCCCCGCCCAGGUAAAUCCAAGUAAAUGAUUUUCUGAAGGUCGGUCUCCUAGAAAGCGUUUAGGCUCUGGUUUUUUGUUUUGUUUCUAUUUUCGUGUUUUCCCAGUUAGGGAAGGAAGAGGAGCCUGUGCAGAGUUGAACUGGGGUGGAGAGGUGCCUUGUAAAGUAUGGUUUCCAGAGAUGGUGAGACCUCGUAGCUAAGCGUUGUUUCCUCUGCACGUAACUGUGAGUUGUGAACUUGUGGCUCCUGGGGGAGCGGGACAGGGCCUGGCAGUGCGGGGGAGGGGGCAAGGAAUUCAGGAAGUUGGCGAGAAUUCUUCGUUUUUCAUUCUUCGUUGUAAAUUGCUUCUAAACACUUCUGAAUUUUAAAUUGCUACCGAGAAGGUCCAGAAACCGUUCUCAUCCAAUUUAGUCACUUUUAUUACGUUCCACUUUGCCUCCCCCAAUCACUGCGGCGGCUCCCAGUUUCAGCGUGGCCGCAUUUGGAAAAGGCUGAAGGUAGAAAACUCUGGAAUGGAGAGGCUGGCGACUGGAGCAGGAUCCAGGGGCUUUAAAUUUUAACCUGAAUGCGAUCGAAUGCGCGACUCCCAGAAGAGAUAGCCAGGCGUCCGCCCGGCCGCUCAACCCCCGCCAGGACUCGGAAUGCCUUGCUUUUGGUUCUUUUCGUGAGUUCCGACCAAAUGUUUAAGUGGACUGGGUUUUGCAGAAGCUCAUUUGUAAGCACUGACGGAAAUGGGUUGUGGGCAUUUGAUUUCCUUUGAUUCCAACGUUUUGAAAUAAUGUUUCUCGGAUUUGCUAUUCGAAGCAAUUUUCUAAAAACUCAUAUCUUAUUUGCUAAAAAUAAACUCUUUGGCUCAGUUUGUGUCCAGGCUGUGUACGGCCUCCAACCCUGAGCCCCGAGGAGAUCGAGCCCUGGCGCGAGCCUGAUCUCUGUCCUGUGUGUUUCUUUGUAUUUGCAAGUACAAGGAUGUCUGCGUGGAUAUCCCUGGACACUCGAUACCCCCCGGGGACCUGCUUUUCCCGCAGCUCCGCAGACGCGGCGGGAGGGCGCGCUGGCCCCGGCGCUGCUGGGACAGAGGUGAGCAGCGGGGUGGACAUUGACCGAUUCGACAACGUUCGGGCUCUAAGGGCUCGGGAAGGGACCCGGCAUUUUACCCUCCAGAUUCCCAAUCUAUUUUUAAAAAUAAUGUUCAAAACAUAUGGGAAAAAUAAGUGAUUGCUCCUUUUCAUGGUCACAGAUUGUAUUUAUUUUUUCAGACUGGUUUUCCAACCUAACGAGGGAAUGGGUAGUGAAUGUUGUUGUUGUUGUUGUUGUUUAUGUUGGUUAAUUUCGAAAUAAAACUGUUUAACUCGUACAGUUGAUUCAGACAGA
rnacentral:lncRNA from 1 species